CAGAAGGGAGAAUUAACAAGCAAGAGAGCCAGAAGAAUCUAGAAAGGGAGAAGAGGUGGCUAAUCAUCGGCAAUAAUCAAGCCAAAAACCACCUCCUUGCUGACAAAUUUCUGAUUGUCCUUCACCAUAAAAUUCCCGCCCCUGCCUUCUUUUCUCGGUAACCCAGAAGUAGUAUUGAUUUUCACCCAAAGAAACGCUAGAAUUGAGCAAUGCAGAGGAACCCCUGCUGCUGCCCCUUCCCAUUUCUAUCACUCACGAAGGCAGGGAGGCCAACCAAACUUUCGACUCUUGUCUCUAGCAGAUGUUAAAUCCUUUCCUAAGCCUCCAAUUCAGUCAAUGUAUGAAGAAGAAGAAGAAGAAGAAUCUCUAUUAGUUGUUAAACCCUUCCCUAAGCCUCCAUUUGGGGAAAUAUUCGAAGGAAUAAGAAGUGUACUGCGUAUUAUGUUGUUGCAGAUGAGUUGAAGCAAGGGUUUCCAAAAGAAAAACCAAGGAAUCAUUUUCAUAGGAGAAAUCAAUUAAAUUGUGAAGAGUCAAUGUGAAAGAAAUGUAAUCCAUUACAGACUUUAAAUAUGCCUUGGUGCUUGAGCCAACUAAUAAAAGAGUAGCCCUUUCUGCUGAAAGAUUAUGGAAGGUGUUUUCAGUACGAGAUUCAAGUGAAUGCAUCAGUCUAGGAAUGGCAAAGUCUCCAAUUUAUCAUUUUUCAAAAAAGCCUCAUCAAUUUCUCUGCACCAGAUGACACAAUUAAACAGUUUGAUGAGUGUUGCUACACAAAAAAUGGCUCGAGGAGAAGAGUGCCUGGCAGGUAGAGACGGGAGAGAAGAUAGUAAUCCAUCUUCAUAGAAGGUAUAGAGGUUUGAAGAGUAUGUUUUUGUUUGAUGUGAUCUGAUAUGAUUUUAAGAUAACUAGGUAAUUAUUACUGUUGUCUGUUUUUGUAAGUACGGUACAAUUUUGUUCACUUUAAUAUUUUAUAAAAGGAGUACUUUGUUAUUUAA